UUAAGCGACUAAGCGUACACGGUGGAUGCCCUGGCAGUCAGAGGCGAUGAAGGGCGUGCUAAUCUGCGAUAAGCGCCGGUAAGGUGAUAUGAACCGUUAUAACCGGCGAUACCCGAAUGGGGAAACCCAGUGUGACUCGUCACACUAUCAUUAACUGAAUCCAUAGGUUAAUGAGGCGAACCGGGGGAACUGAAACAUCUAAGUACCCCGAGGAAAAGAAAUCAACCGAGAUUCCCCCAGUAGCGGCGAGCGAACGGGGAGGAGCCCAGAGCCUGAAUCAGCAUGUGUGUUAGUGGAAGCGUCUGGAAAGGCGCGCGAUACAGGGUGACAGCCCCGUACACAAAAGCGCAUGUGCUGUGAGCUCGAUGAGUAGGGCGGGACACGUGGUAUCCUGUCUGAAUAUGGGGGGACCAUCCUCCAAGGCUAAAUACUCCUGACUGACCGAUAGUGAACCAGUACCGUGAGGGAAAGGCGAAAAGAACCCCGGCGAGGGGAGUGAAAAAGAACCUGAAACCGUGUACGUACAAGCAGUGGGAGCACAGGUUUACCUGUGUGACUGCGUACCUUUUGUAUAAUGGGUCAGCGACUUAUAUUCUGUAGCAAGGUUAACCGAAUAGGGGAGCCGGAGGGAAACCGAGUCUUAAUUGGGCGUUAAGUUGCAGGGUAUAGACCCGAAACCCGGUGAUCUAGCCAUGGGCAGGUUGAAGGUUGGGUAACACUAACUGGAGGACCGAACCGACUAAUGUUGAAAAAUUAGCGGAUGACCUGUGGCUGGGGGUGAAAGGCCAAUCAAACCGGGAGAUAGCUGGUUCUCCCCGAAAGCUAUUUAGGUAGCGCCUCGUGAAUUCAUCUCCGGGGGUAGAGCACUGUUUCGGCUAGGGGGCCAUCCCGGCUUACCAACCCGAUGCAAACUGCGAAUACCGGAGAAUGUUAUCACGGGAGACACACGGCGGGUGCUAACGUCCGUCGUGAAGAGGGAAACAACCCAGACCGCCAGCUAAGGUCCCAAAGUCAUGGUUAAGUGGGAAACGAUGUGGGAAGGCCCAGACAGCCAGGAUGUUGGCUUAGAAGCAGCCAUCAUUUAAAGAAAGCGUAAUAGCUCACUGGUCGAGUCGGCCUGCGCGGAAGAUGUAACGGGGCUAAACCAUGCACCGAAGCUGCGGCAGCGAACGUAUCACUUAAAGCGAUUCAGCGGGUUACGAUUGACGGAGCGAAGCGACGUCAAAGCGUAUACAAAGUCGAGUCGGUUUAAGGAUACGUUCGUUGGGUAGGGGAGCGUUCUGUAAGCCUGUGAAGGUGGCCUGUGAGGGUUGCUGGAGGUAUCAGAAGUGCGAAUGCUGACAUAAGUAACGAUAAAGCGGGUGAAAAGCCCGCUCGCCGGAAGACCAAGGGUUCCUGUCCAACGUUAAUCGGGGCAGGGUGAGUCGACCCCUAAGGCGAGGCCGAAAGGCGUAGUCGAUGGGAAACGGGUUAAUAUUCCCGUACUUGGUGUUACUGCGAAGGGGGGACGGAGAAGGCUAUGUUGGCCGGGCGACGGUUGUCCCGGUUUAAGCGUGUAGGUGUGUGUUCCAGGUAAAUCCGGUUCACUUUAACACUGAGGCGUGACGACGAGGCACUACGGUGCUGAAGCAACAAAUGCCCUGCUUCCAGGAAAAGCCUCUAAGCAUCAGGUAACAUCAAAUCGUACCCCAAACCGACACAGGUGGUCAGGUAGAGAAUACCAAGGCGCUUGAGAGAACUCGGGUGAAGGAACUAGGCAAAAUGGUGCCGUAACUUCGGGAGAAGGCACGCUGACACGUAGGUGAAGUGAUUUACUCACGGAGCUGAAGUCAGUCGAAGAUACCAGCUGGCUGCAACUGUUUAUUAAAAACACAGCACUGUGCAAACACGAAAGUGGACGUAUACGGUGUGACGCCUGCCCGGUGCCGGAAGGUUAAUUGAUGGGGUCAGCGCAAGCGAAGCUCCUGAUCGAAGCCCCGGUAAACGGCGGCCGUAACUAUAACGGUCCUAAGGUAGCGAAAUUCCUUGUCGGGUAAGUUCCGACCUGCACGAAUGGCGUAAUGAUGGCCAGGCUGUCUCCACCCGAGACUCAGUGAAAUUGAACUCGCUGUGAAGAUGCAGUGUACCCGCGGCAAGACGGAAAGACCCCGUGAACCUUUACUAUAGCUUGACACUGAACAUUGAGCCUUGAUGUGUAGGAUAGGUGGGAGGCUUUGAAGUGUGGACGCCAGUCUGCAUGGAGCCGACCUUGAAAUACCACCCUUUAAUGUUUGAUGUUCUAACGUGGACCCGUAAUCCGGGUUGCGGACAGUGUCUGGUGGGUAGUUUGACUGGGGCGGUCUCCUCCUAAAGAGUAACGGAGGAGCACGAAGGUUGGCUAAUCCUGGUCGGACAUCAGGAGGUUAGUGCAAUGGCAUAAGCCAGCUUGACUGCGAGCGUGACGGCGCGAGCAGGUGCGAAAGCAGGUCAUAGUGAUCCGGUGGUUCUGAAUGGAAGGGCCAUCGCUCAACGGAUAAAAGGUACUCCGGGGAUAACAGGCUGAUACCGCCCAAGAGUUCAUAUCGACGGCGGUGUUUGGCACCUCGAUGUCGGCUCAUCACAUCCUGGGGCUGAAGUAGGUCCCAAGGGUAUGGCUGUUCGCCAUUUAAAGUGGUACGCGAGCUGGGUUUAGAACGUCGUGAGACAGUUCGGUCCCUAUCUGCCGUGGGCGCUGGAGAACUGAGGGGGGCUGCUCCUAGUACGAGAGGACCGGAGUGGACGCAUCACUGGUGUUCGGGUUGUCAUGCCAAUGGCACUGCCCGGUAGCUAAAUGCGGAAGAGAUAAGUGCUGAAAGCAUCUAAGCACGAAACUUGCCCCGAGAUGAGUUCUCCCUGAGACUUUAGGUCUCCUGAAGGAACGUUGAAGACGACGACGUUGAUAGGCCGGGUGUGUAAGCGCAGCGAUGCGUUGAGCUAACCGGUACUAAUGAACCGUGAGGCUUAACCUU
rnacentral:rRNA from 1 species